CCUACGGGAGGCAGCAGUGAGGAAUAUUGGUCAAUGGGCGAGAGCCUGAACCAGCCAAGUAGCGUGCAGGAUGACGGCCCUAUGGGUUGUAAACUGCUUUUAUAAGGGAAUAAAGUGAGUCACGUGUGACUUUUUGCAUGUACCUUAUGAAUAAGGACCGGCUAAUUCCGUGCCAGCAGC
rnacentral:rRNA from 1 species